UACGGAGGGCGCAAGCGUUGUUCGGAAUCACUGGGCGUAAAGCGCGUGCAGGCGGCUUGGUAAGUCGGAUGUGAAAUCCCGGAGCUCAACUCCGGAACUGCACCCGAUACUGCCUCGCUAGAGUCCCGGAGAGGAUGGCGGAAUUUCCGGUGUAGAGGUGAAAUUCGUAGAUAUCGGAAGGAACACCAGCGGCGAAGGCGGCCAUCUGGACGGUGACUGACGCUCAGACGCGAAAGCGCGGGGAGCAAACAGG
rnacentral:rRNA from 2 species